GGAGGAGACUGAACCGGCGGUCAAUCUUCUGCCAGAAAGCUAGGACGGUGCAUCCGAAAGAUGCAUUUUAAUUAAACCAUACCUGAUUUUAGCGCAGGCUGCUCUCGUUGUUACAUACCCGAGUAAAACUGGUUGAUCCAUUACCAAAACUUCGACUCAUAACAUCAUGACUCUCAUUAUAUUCAUUUACAUGGCCUUGUUCUCAUAAAGUGAUGCAAUAUUAGGGGAAUGACUUAAAUGCGAAUUAAUUCCUUUAACAUUAUGACUUCAUGCCUCGAGUUUUCAUUUCAUGCCCUGAUACUCUGUGGUAGUAUUUGGUUGCUAGUAUGAAUCUGUGUGAUCGGUACGGUUUUUAAUUCAAAUUCAAAGUCACGUGGUCAUAAUAUUGUUAUUAAAAGAAGGCGGAUUUUAAGGGGUUUCCUCAUUGUUUAACUUCUCAUAAAAACGCUUAAAUAAGGCACAGAACUUACCGCUUGGUAUCUGUAAGUAAACCCCAUUAGCUAAAUUAAACCAGACCGGUAAAUGUUAUGUAGCUAGCAAGCUGAUGACUUCAUAAAAAAAAACAUAACUUACCGAAACAACUGCAAAGAUCCCGAUUUCACAUGUCGGUUAACACAGUUUACUGCAGAACAACUCAUUUUUCCAAUGCAUAAAAGAGAAAAACGAUGGAAAAAUGUAAUCCUCUUCUCCGCUAGCAAACCCGAUCGGUCUUGACGAUGAACGAAAAAGAGCGACGCACAAGCAGCAAGUGCAAAGUGUAGAGAAUGACGCAAUUUCCUGUUUUCAUAACUCCUAAUAACUUUUUAAAAUGGAGCUGCAGAGAGAAAAAAAGACCUGAACACAAACCAGUCUAAUAAUAACUACAUGUCAACAUCGCAGUCGGGGGUGAGAAAAGUGUAUUUUCUGUGAAAUCAAUUUCUAAAGGCCGUCCGCCACUCCAUUCACUUUGCUGGCAGAAGUGGGGUUUAUGACUUGUACUGCAGCCAGGCUCUAGGGGGUGCUGUUCUCGGAGUGGCUUCACCCGGCGAGGAGACAGACGGCGUCCAUCUUAUAUACAGUCUAUAGCUGCGUCCGAAUUGCCAAGUAGUAGUCGAAGUAGUAUCUAGCAUGUCCGAAUUGGCCACCGGAGCGAGUAGCAUGCUACUUCAGAUACUACUUCAGAUACUAGACACGCCCACAUUGUAGGUUGGUCGCGGUGCAUCCUACGGGCAUGCUACUGACCCAAAAUGCACCGCGGGCUUCUUCUUCGUCCUCUUAAAAGUUGUAGAAGCGCAUGUGAUGCUAGCGCCACCAGCAUAGAUGCGUCGCGAACGCCGGCUGGCCACAGCAGCGCGCACCAUGUCGGAGCAGCAGCAGGCGGGACCGCAGCAGUACUGAUGUAAGUUUCAUGUAACUUCACACACUGUCCUAAAAAAUGUGCGGUUGUAUCUCUUUGUCAUGUCAUGGUGUCAUAUUUGCCCAAGUAAUCAUUUUAUGAGCAAAUAUGUGGCGACAUCAUGGAGGUAAAGCUCACUUAUUCCAUCAUUAAACUGCACAGCUGCAGUACUACAGCCAGGCCCUCAGAUGAGGGGCUUCAGUCACCACUGUCUGCACGGGCGCAGUACCUACUCUCUGCCUGCGGGGGUCGUCUUUCCCCACCGCUCGUCUAGUGUGUCCGAAUUGGGCCAACGUGUUUAGUAUGUAGGAGUAGGAUCUAGCAGUAGUAUGUAGCAGUAGCAUGUAGUAUCCGAGCGGGCAAUUCGGACGCAGCAUUUGAGUUGAAGCCAAAAAGCUCUCGGUAUUUCCGGGGUUUUUCUUCAUUUCCUGACACCAGCGCUGCGCAGUAGCAGUCGCCGAGAGUCGCUGUGAUGACGCUAGGCUCAAACAGCGUAUCGAUAGAUAAAUAGAAAGACUAGAUAACGUACCUACGCUGUAAGCCAAUGGGGACUGGUGUCGUCACACGGCGGCCAUCUUACCUAGAGGCUGCUGGCCCACUGAUAACAUUAAUGUCUAUGGUGCAUGUACUGUUUCCAUGAUCAUAUCCUACUCAAAUUUCAACUGAUAAUAACGGAUUGGUUUGUUAUAAACGCCAGAGAUGUAGUUAUGUUUCUGCAUAUUUACGGAUAAUUAUAACCAUGGACUUUCAUAUUAAAUUAAAAAAGGUGAUAGUGGAGCAAUACCUGCCAUAGCUGUACACAUACACACACAGUGAAAUUAAAUUGUCAGGGUUUUUGAUAUUAAACAUUUAAUAGUUAGAUAUUUUAUAGUUCUAUUUCAUAGAUGUAUUAAAUAUAAAGGGGUAAGUUGACCCACAUGAUAUUUUAAACUUAAUCUUAAAACUUUAACAAAUAAUGUAUUUACUGAUGAAAAAUAAUUUCAUAAGACAUUUCCUUUUUUCAAAUAGUCUUAAUUAUUAUCUUUGGGUUAUUAAACAAUAUAAAACCAAUUAAAGCUUGCUUUUCAGAACCUUUUAAUAUUCGCAAUCAUUAAUAUAAUAUUGAAAACUUCCCUUGAAUUAGUGUAUUUCUCAAAAAAUACAAAAAACAACCCAAAAAAAUAAAAGAUCAUUCUGCUAAUUUGAGUAGCAAAGACCUAAUAAAAAUUCCAUAAAUUGUGAUUCAUAUUCAUAAUAACUCAUGUGUAUAGUUUUAAAGAUCAAGGGGAUGGUUCGUUCAUCUUACCCGUUUUGCUACAUAUAUUUUAAUAUAAAAAUUAAAAUAAACACAUUCAGUAACAUGAAAUAAAGGUUCUUUUAUUAAACAGAGGUGAACAAUUACAAAACAAUUCAACAUUCACUCCAAACCAACAGUCACACUUAACCACGCAGCAUUCACUCCAAAUCAACAGUCACUCACACGGUCGCAACAAAACCAACAUAUAUACAAGUGCGCAGACAGUUUGAGCUACUGCCCCUUGAAAAGGACUGUUUUGGUGAGCUUCUGUCUCACAUUGUCUUUCUGUGAGCUACGCGUAGUCAUUUUAGCAAUGUGGUGCAGCCUUAAUUUGAAAAACAGGGACACAACUAGAGCUAAAUUAUGAUAUUGUUGUGGUAAUUCAUAUAGCCUAUGCUUGAAUGCCAUUAUGUAAACUUAAAUAACAAGUCAAUAACAGUAACAUGUUAAAAAAAAUGUGAAAAAGAAAUAUUCAAUGAUUAUUAUGUAAACAAAUGGUAGAAACAUUUCUAAAACGUCAGGGGGAAAAUAACUUGUAUUUCACAAGUACAAAUUUAACUAAGUUAGUAACAAUUAUCCUAAAUAUGUCCCUCAAGUCAUUUCUUAUGAAUGAAAAGUGAUUCCACGGGCUCUUGUUGGAAAAGAACGUUCAUUUGAGCAUCCAUGUGCUGCACAAAAGUCUGGCAUCUUGGACUGUAGGGGGUAUUUCUGUAAACACAAAGCCAGGCAUUUACUGUAUCACAAUGAAUCUAAAUUAAGGAUAUAUUUUACUAAUGAAGCAGCUUGGAAAUCAUAUUAUGUAUGUUAAACCAAAGUAGUAUGUCUAGGCUACUUUGCAAAAGUCCCAGUGGACCACUGUGUCACAUUCACAACGUCUUGUUUCUUUGCUAGCUAAUAAACCGUUACUGCAGCCCAUCAAAAGAGGGUGCUGUUCUCGGAGUGUCUUCACCCAGCGAGGAGGCAAACUCUGUCCAUUCUAAGGCUGUGUCUCAUUUCAGAGACCGCAUCGGGAUAAGCACGCCGUUAUGUACCCUUCCUGUGUCCCA